GUGCUCAAUUCUGAAACAUAUAUUCUAAAACUGGAAUGACACAGAUUAGAUUAAGCAUGGACCCUGUUCAACAAUGAAAUGUAAAUUCAUGAAGUGUUCCAUAUUUAA